rnacentral:ncRNA from 1 species
CUUAUCAAGAGUGACGGAGGGUUCAGGCCCGAUGAAGUCCGGCAACCUGCUUUUUCAGACAGGCAAGGUGCCAAUUCCUGCGGCGUCAGCCGAGAGAUGAGG